GAGGGAUUCGAACCCUCGGUAUANAAAAGUUUACAUAGCAGUUCCAAUACUACGCCUUUCAACCACUCGGCCAUCUCUCC
rnacentral:tRNA from 1 species